UACAGAGGUGGCAAGCGUUGUUCGGAAUUACUGGGCGUAAAGGGCGCGUAGGCGGUCUUGUAAGUCUUGUGUGAAAUCCCUUGGCUUAACUGAGGAACUGCACGAGAUACUGCAAGACUUGAGAUCGGGAGAGGGAAGCGGAAUUCCGGGUGUAGCGGUGAAAUGCGUAGAUAUCUGGAGGAACACCGGUGGCGAAGGCGGCAUUCUGGACUGCAACUGACACUGAAAGACGAAAGCCAGGGGAGCAAACGGG
rnacentral:rRNA from 1 species